rnacentral:rRNA from 1 species
UACGAAGGGGGCUAGCGUUGUUCGGAUUUACUGGGCGUAAAGCGCACGUAGGCGGAUCUUUAAGUCAGGGGUGAAAUCCCGAGGCUCAACCUCGGAACUGCCUUUGAUACUGGGGAUCUCGAGUCCGGGAGAGGUGAGUGGAACUGCGAGUGUAGAGGUGAAAUUCGUAGAUAUUCGCAAGAACACCAGUGGCGAAGGCGGCUCACUGGCCCGGAACUGACGCUGAGGUGCGAAAGCGUGGGGAGCAAACAGGG